CGGAUGUUAGCGGCGGACGGGUGAGUAACACGUGGGUAACCUGCCUGUAAGACUGGGAUAACUCCGGGAAACCGGAGCUAAUACCGGAUAGUUCCUUGAACCGCAUGGUUCAAGGAUGAAAGACGGUUUCGGCUGUCACUUACAGAUGGACCCGCGGCGCAUUAGCUAGUUGGUGAGGUAACGGCUCACCAAGGCGACGAUGCGUAGCCGACCUGAGAGGGUGAUCGGCCACACUGGGACUGAGACACGGCCCAGACUCCUACGGGAGGCAGCAGUAGGGAAUCUUCCGCAAUGGACGAAAGUCUGACGGAGCAACGCCGCGUGAGUGAUGAAGGUUUUCGGAUCGUAAAGCUCUGUUGUUAGGGAAGAACAAGUGCAAGAGUAACUGCUUGCACCUUGACGGUACCUAACCAGAAAGCCACGGCUAACUACGUGCCAGCAGCCGCGGUAAUACGUAGGUGGCAAGCGUUGUCCGGAAUUAUUGGGCGUAAAGGGCUCGCAGGCGGUUUCUUAAGUCUGAUGUGAAAGCCCCCGGCUCAACCGGGGAGGGUCAUUGGAAACUGGGAAACUUGAGUGCAGAAGAGGAGAGUGGAAUUCCACGUGUAGCGGUGAAAUGCGUAGAGAUGUGGAGGAACACCAGUGGCGAAGGCGACUCUCUGGUCUGUAACUGACGCUGAGGAGCGAAAGCGUGGGGAGCGAACAGGAUUAGAUACCCUGGUAGUCCACGCCGUAAACGAUGAGUGCUAAGUGUUAGGGGGUUUCCGCCCCUUAGUGCUGCAGCUAACGCAUUACGCACUCCGCCUGGGGAGUACGGUCGCAAGACUGAAACUCAAAGGAAUUGACGGGGGCCCGCACAAGCGGUGGAGCAUGUGGUUUAAUUCGAAGCAACGCGAAGAACCUUACCAGGUCUUGACAUCCUCUGACAACCCUAGAGAUAGGGCUUUCCCUUCGGGGACAGAGUGACAGGUGGUGCAUGGUUGUCGUCAGCUCGUGUCGUGAGAUGUUGGGUUAAGUCCCGCAACGAGCGCAACCCUUGAUCUUAGUUGCCAGCAUUCAGUUGGGCACUCUAAGGUGACUGCCGGUGACAAACCGGAGGAAGGUGGGGAUGACGUCAAAUCAUCAUGCCCCUUAUGACCUGGGCUACACACGUGCUACAAUGGACAGAACAAAGGGCUGCGAGACCGCAAGGUUUAGCCAAUCCCACAAAUCUGUUCUCAGUUCGGAUCGCAGUCUGCAACUCGACUGCGUGAAGCUGGAAUCGCUAGUAAUCGCGGAUCAGC
rnacentral:rRNA from 1 species